rnacentral:lncRNA from 1 species
AUGAAAUUGUUUUGGAAGGGAUGAGGAGAGCAGGAAGUUCCUGAGUCUAAAGGAGUGGAAGAGUGUGACCAGAGUGCUGGUAUGAGAUGGCAAGAGAGCUCAACGCUGAAAGAGAAUUAGAGGACACAGCAAGAAACUGCCCAUUUAUGCCACGUGAAAGGCACUGUGGAAGAAGAAGGACCCAGGAAGAGAAGAGUGCAAAGAAAACUUCAUCUGAAAUAAGCAAGGUAUUUUUUCAAGCCAUAAAAACAAAAAGAAGCUCACCCUCAGCAAAAGUUAAGGAAUAUACAUUAAAAAAAUAUCAUACUUUCUCUCAUAGGAUUGAGAAAAAUUAGAAAGACUAAUAACAUUUAAAAUUAGCAAAGAUACAGAGACACUCUCAUCUGCUGCUUGGGAGAGUGUAAAUUGUUACAAUUAUUUGGGGGAGAAAAUUUGACAAUAUCUAUAUCAAUUUAAAAUGGGCAUAGCCAGAGAUUCCCAUUUUAAGAAUUUACCCUACAGAAAUAAUACCUUGAGAACAUAAAGAUAUAUAUGCAAAGAGGCUUGUUGCAGCAUUGUUUAUAUUUGCGAAAAAAGAAGGAGGGAGGACAAUAUAUUUCUUUACAUAUUUCUGGGUAAUAAGUUACCGCCCCCCCCAGAUUAGCAGUUCAAAACAACAAAUACUUAUUAUCUCAGAGUUUUUGAGGGUGGUGAAUUGGUAGUGGCUUAGCUGGAUGGUUCUAACUCAGGGUCGAUCAUGAGAGUACAGUCAAGAUGUUUGCCGGGAGUGCAGUCUUUGAAUGCUUGACUGGGACUGGGGAAUCUGCUUCCAAUAUGGCCCCCCAACAUGUCUGUUGGUAGAGGACCACAGUCCCUCUCCACAUGGACUACACGAACCUCUCCCUAGAGCUACUUGAGCAUUCUGAGUGACAUGGCGGCUUGCUUCUCCCAGAAUGAGUGAUCUAAGACAGAGCAAGAAUGAAGCUGGCUUCUAUGACCUAGCGUUAGAAUUUGCACACUAUCAUUUCUGCAGUAUUCUACAAUAUCAAUAUUCUACCAAUGCUCUAAUAUUCCAAGUCAUCAAGUCCAGUCUAAGCUCAAGAGAAAGUGAUUUUGUCUCCACUUUUUGGAGGGAAGAGUGUUGAGUGAUUUGGGGACAUAUUUUAAAACUACUCCAACUUGUUCUCCGGCCACAAAUUAAAAUUAUUUUCACAUAGAAAACAUACUCAUCCCAGGGCACUUGGGUGGCUCACUCGGUUGAGUUUCUAACUCUUGGUUUCGGCUCAGGUCAUGGUCCCAGGGAUGUGGGAUCAAUCUCUGUGUCAGGUUCAUCAUUGAGCAUGGAACCUGUUUAAGAUUUUAGAUCUCUCCUUCCUCUGCCCCUCUCCCCUGAUUGUCUUGCUCUCUCUCAAAUAAUUGAUUGAUUGAUUGAUUGAUUGAUUGAUUGACUGAUUGAUAAAAUAAAAUAAAAUAAAAUAAAAUAAAAUAAAAUAUA